GAAGUGAUGCAUCGAGUACAUCAAAUACUUCAACAUGAUUGCAGUGUUUUUCAUGCCAGUAGUUUUUAGGAUACCAUACGAAAACUACAAUGACUCUGACUGUUUUUUGACAUAAAUAGACAACGAUUUUAUUCAGAGAUGUGUUUUACUGAUGUAUUUAAUGAUGUAUCACCUUAAUGUAUUUUAGAUUUUUGUAGCUUGUUAAUUGUAUGUCUUUUGUUAUUUAUUCUGUUUUGGCCAUGAAGAUAACCUUGUGCUGACAUUGUAUUAAAAAAAUAAAUGAAAUAAAAUAAAUAGGGUACCAUAUGACAGUACUGCCAAAACUGAAGUGAUCCGGUUUUAACAAAUUCACUUGAAAACAUGCUCCUUUAGUCAGUUUUUGUAUUAUUUUCCCUAAUCUCCACUUACAGUUUAAGUCAAGUCAGUUUUAGCAAAGAGGCUUGCUGGCUAAAGUAAGUUGCUGAAUACUGAUUAGGUUUUGAUGUGUUAUGCUUGUAAUUGUCUGAUUUUUUUUUCAUUAAACAAUCUGGGUGAACUGGGGAGAGUGUUUUGCCUUCUAAGCAUUAGAACAUAUAUUUAUAUAGUUUACAGCAGACUUUUAUUUCAAAAUAGCAGAGGGAAAUCCUGUUUUGCAUGAUACAGCACACAUCUACACUGCCCAACUAAACCCUUUUGCUUAUCAUUCAUGCACCAUCUGUGCAUGUUGACCCGUCUCAUUCCAUGCCCACACUGCUAGUAUUUCAAAUGGUUGCUGUGCCAUUAGUUAACCAGAUAAGUCAAUAAACAGCUGUGCAGAAUGUACCAAAUGUGUUAAAACCGUCUGCCUAGUAGUUAUGGAUCCGCAAGUAAAGCGCCAGGUCAAGGUGGUUUUAGAAGAUGUCCUUCAGACAGAGAUCGGGCAGAGAUUGCUGAGAUGUGGCGGGCAGAUUUGCCUAAAGACAAACCAAUCAGAGAACAAAAGGCAGAGUGAUCACACCUCAACAUCUUCACUCAAAAGACAAGAGGAGAACCAGUCUAACAAAAAGAGGAGAAACGGACUCUACUGGACCAAAAGCCACUUCACCAUCCCAUAAUCAGACUGAGUCAUCCUCUGAAAAUGAAUCAUGUCUACACAAAGAAAUCAAAACUCCGAAAUCCAAACAACAGAACUCAUCACUGAAACUAUUAGAGUCAUCUGAAGUAUCAGGUAACUCCUGUUCACCCAGAGAACGUGACUCACCACAGCUGCCUAAACAGACCAAACCAUCUACUUUUGAAGAGGAGGAAGUAUUACUUCUUGAAGGAUCUCUGCAGCAUGAGGAAGCAUCUUCCUCUGAAUGUGAAUCUUUACACAGACCCUCUUUAUCGUUAGCAAGCCGGGGUAGUCUGAGAGAAGAAACAUCAGGUAGCGAGCAUUUACCUAAUAAGAAAGAAAGGAGAGAAACACAAGAAUGGCCGAAAUAUGCUUCAGAAGAUGCAGAAAAUCACUUGCUCAGGAAUGGAGAGGUGGUGCAGGAAGUGGAUGGUACAAGAGGAAGUGUGUUACGCCUCUCUGUCGGGUUUGAUAGGGAAAUCCAGGCUAAAAAAAUUCGUAUGGACAGCCUUUCAGGUGAACAUGCUCCCAACUCAGACCACACCUCUGGGACCAUAGAGGGGCGGAGCUACAACACAGAGUCCUCUAAGCUCACCCCAUCUGAACUUAUUGUUCUGUCCAGUGAAGAGGAAGAGGAACAGGAAGGAGAGGAAAGUAAAGAGGUGGAAGCCUCUUCCCUAAACAUCCAGCCACUGGAGGGUGCAAAAGACAUGAAUAUAGAAGAUAAAUCGAGUUCAGUUGUGGUAGAGCUACAGCUGUCUUCCCUUCACAUGGGUGGAGUUAGUGCCAAUUGUGAGAGUAUGAAGGUCACUACAGACAAGAUCACCUUUUCAUUAAGAGGUUCUUCAGUGGACAUUUCUAUAUCGACACCUAAUGUGUGUAAAUACAGUGUAUGGGAUGAGCCUGUAUUGGGUGCGUGUGGCCUGGCUAAGGACAGCGAGGUCCCGCCCCCUUCUCUGGUCCUCUUUUGGCUGUCUGAUGACCAGGCAUGCAGAUUACGCAAUGAGCUGUCCGUCAUCCUGCCAGACACAUGUCCAGGUCAGCUACCUGUCUGCUUUCUUGAUUACUGA
rnacentral:lncRNA from 1 species